UAGGGAAGCUUUCGGGUGGGGACAAGGUU
rnacentral:piRNA from 1 species